UACGUAGGGGGCAAGCGUUGUCCGGAUUUAUUGGGCGUAAAGAGCGUGUAGGCGGCUGGGUAGGUCCGUUGUGAAAACUCGAGGCUCCAACCUCGAGACGCCGAUGGAAACCCUCCAGCUAGAGUCCGGAAGAGGAGAGUGGAAUUCCUGGUGUAGCGGUGAAAUGCGCAGAUAUCAGGAAGAACACCCGUGGCUAAGGCGGGUCUCUGGGCAACAACUGACGCUGAGGAGCGAAAGCGUGGGGAGCGAACAGG
rnacentral:rRNA from 1 species